rnacentral:rRNA from 1 species
AGUGAACGCUGGCGGCAGGCCUAAUACAUGCAAGUCGAACGGCAGCACAAGAGAGCUUGUUCUCUGGUUUUCGCGGGGCGCACGGGAGUGGAACGUAUCGGAAUCUGCUCAUUUGCGGGGGAUAACUUCGGGAAACCGGGACUAAUACCGCAUAUGACUUACGGCUGAAAGUUGGGGAUCUUCGGACCUUGUUCAUAUCGAUGAUCCCGUGCCGGAUUAGCUAGUUGGUGAGGUAAAGGCUCACCAAGGCAACGAUCCAUAGCUGAUCUGAGAGGGUGAUCGGCCACACUGGAACUGAGACACGGCCCAGACUCCUACGGGAGGCAGCAGUAGGGAAUAUUCGACAAUGGGCGCAAGCCUGAUCGAGCCAUGCCGCGUGUGUGAAGAAGGCCUUCGGGUUGUAAAACACUUUUGUUGGGGAAGAAAAGCAGUCGAUUAAUACCCGGUUGUCAUGACGGUACCCAAUGAGUAAGCACCGGCUAACUUCGUG